AUUGAACGCUGGCGGCAGGCCUAACACAUGCAAGUCGGACGGUAGCACAGAGAGCUUGCUCUCGGGUGACGAGUGGCGGACGGGUGAGUAAUGUCUGGGGAUCUGCCCGAUAGAGGGGGAUAACCACUGGAAACGGUGGCUAAUACCGCAUAACGUCGCAAGACCAAAGAGGGGGACCUUCGGGCCUCUCACUAUCGGAUGAACCCAGAUGGGAUUAGCUAGUAGGCGGGGUAACGGCCCACCUAGGCGACGAUCCCUAGCUGGUCUGAGAGGAUGACCAGCCACACUGGAACUGAGACACGGUCCAGACUCCUACGGGAGGCAGCAGUGGGGAAUAUUGCACAAUGGGCGCAAGCCUGAUGCAGCCAUGCCGCGUGUAUGAAGAAGGCCUUCGGGUUGUAAAGUACUUUCAGCGGGGAGGAAGGCGAUGUGGUUAAUAACCGCAUUGAUUGACGUUACCCGCAGAAGAAGCACCGGCUAACUCCGUGCCAGCAGCCGCAGUAACAC
rnacentral:rRNA from 1 species